GAUUUCUGGUUUGACGCGCCUGGCCCGGUGGGGUUACCUGCUGAGUGCCGGUGCGCGUCUACCAUCCUUCUAGAAAACAGCCUUGCCCUUCACUGGGUUGAGGUUGCGAUCUAGAUCUUUUACUUUGAAAAAAUUAGAGUGUUUAAAGCAGGCUUACGCUAUGAAUACAUUAGCAUGGAAUAAUAAUUUAGGACUUCGGUCUCUAUUUUGUUGGUUUCUAGAGCUGAAGUAAUGAUUGAUAGGGAUAGUUGGGGGUGCUAGUAUUCAGCGGCCAGAGGUGAAAUUCUUGGAUUCGCUGAAGACUAACUUAUGCGAAAGCAUU
rnacentral:rRNA from 2 species